UGUCUAGUAUAGCAAUCUAUACCGUGAAACUGCGAAUGGCUCAUUAAAUCAGUUAUCGUUUAUUUGAUAGUACCUUACUACUUGGAUAACCGUGGUAAUUCUAGAGCUAAUACAUGCUAAAAACCUCGACUUCGGAAGGGGUGUAUUUAUUAGAUAAAAAACCAAUGCCCUUCGGGGCUCUCUGGUGAUUCAUAAUAACUUAACGAAUCGCAUGGCCUUGUGCCGGCGAUGGUUCAUUCAAAUUUCUGCCCUAUCAACUUUCGAUUGUAUGGUCUUGGCUUACAAUGGUUUCAACGGGUAACGGGGAAUUAGGGUUCUAUUCCGGAGAGGGAGCCUGAGAAACGGCUACCACAUCCAAGGAAGGCAGCAGGCGCGCAAAUUACCCAAUCCCGACACGGGGAGGUAGUGACAAUAAAUACUGAUACAGGGCUCUUUUGGGUCUUGUAAUUGGAAUGAGUACAAUUUAAAUCCCUUAACGAGGAACAAUUGGAGGGCAAGUCUGGUGCCAGCAGCCGCGGUAAUUCCAGCUCCAAUAGCGUAUAUUAAAGUUGUUGCAGUUAAAAAGCUCGUAGUUGAACCUUGGGCCUGGCUGGCCGGUCCGCCUCACCGCGUGCACUGGUCCGGCCGGGCCUUUCCUCCUGGGGAGCCGCAUGCCCUUCACUGGGUGUGCCGGGGAACCAGGACUUUUACUUUGAAAAAAUUAGAGUGUUCAAAGCAGGCCUAUGCUCGAAUACAUUAGCAUGGAAUAAUAGAAUAGGACGUGUGGUUCUAUUUUGUUGGUUUCUAGGACCGCCGUAAUGAUUAAUAGGGAUAGUCGGGGGCAUCAGUAUUCAAUUGUCAGAGGUGAAAUUCUUGGAUUUAUUGAAGACUAACUACUGC
rnacentral:rRNA from 1 species